rnacentral:lncRNA from 1 species
GGGGGAAUUCCUUCAUUAUGCUAAUACCGCCUAGAGAUAGGGGUAGGACGAUUAAUUGUAUUUUGCUUUUGUUUAUCAUGCAUUGCUAGUUACUAGGGGAGGCUAGAGAUAGCAAGCAAGUAAUUAGUAAUAGGCUCUUUUUGCCAAGAGAUUGGGUUUAGGGUAGACUCAGAAAGUUUGCAUGACAAUAUUUUAAAUAAGCGAAUUAAGUAAGAAGAAUAGAUAUAAAAGGGUGGAUAAGAUUAAAUUGUAAACCCCAACAACUCUAUUCAUCCAUAGUUUCUUCUAGCCAAUUGAUUCACUGCAUUUUGCAUGUUUAUUUUCG